CCUACGGGCGGCAGCAGUGAGGAAUAUUGGUCAAUGGACGAGAGUCUGAACCAGCCAAGUAGCGUGAAGGAUGACUGCUCUAUGGGUGGUAAACUUCUUUUAUAAAGGAAUAAAACGAGGCACGUGUGCCUUAUUCCAUGUAUUUCUUGAAUACGGAUCGGCUAACGCCGUGCCAGCAGCCGCGGUAAUACGGAGGAUCCGAGCGUUCUCCGGAUUUAUUGGGUGUAACGGGAGCGUAGAUGGGAUGUUAAGUCAGGUGUGAAAUGUUGCGGCUUAACCGUAGAAUUGCAUUUGAUACUGGGAGUCUAGAGUACAGGUGAGGUAGGCGGAAUUCGUGGUGUAGCGGUGAAAUGCGUAGAUAUCACGAAGAACACCGAUGGCGAAGGCGGCUUACUAGACUGUAACUGACGUUGAUGCUCGAAAGUGUGGGUAGCAAACAGGAUUAGAUACCCGAGUAGUC
rnacentral:rRNA from 1 species